CAUCACUACGCUAGAUGCAUAUCAAUAAGCGGAGGAAAAGAAACUAACAAGGAUUCCCCUAGUAACGGCGAGUGAAGCGGGAAGAGCUCAAAUUUGAAAUCUUAAAGGGUUUCCCUUUACGAAUUGUAGUUUAAAGAAGUGUUUUCUGUUGGAGUUUCGGUAAAAGUUCUUUGGAAUAGGACAUCAUAGAGGGUGAGAAUCCCGUAUUUGACCGUUACUUUCCAGCUGUGUGAUACACUUUCAAAGAGUCGGAUUGUUUGGGAAUGCAGUCCAAAAUGGGUGGUAAAUUUCAUCUAAAGCUAAAUAUUGGCGAGAGACCGAUAGCGAACAAGUACCGUGAGGGAAAGAUGAAAAGAACUUUGAAAAGAGAGUUAAACAGUACGUGAAAUUGUCAAAAGGGAAGCGUUUGACACCAGUGUUGUUUAGUUGGAAAAUCAAUUCAAUAAUUUUUGAUUUUGAGUAGUAUUGACUUCAUCAGCUUGCUGCUCUCUUUUCAGAAAUUAUUGAAUGCACUUUUCAGUUAACAAGUCAACAUCAAUUUCUUUUGUUGUAAAAGGGUAAGAGGAAGGUGGCUUACGCUUCGGCGUAAGUGUUUAUAGCCUUUUACCUCUGCAAUCGGAGAGAUUGAGGACAGCAGCGUAGACUCUUCGGGGUUAGAUACACUUGUGCUAAGCUAUAGCCUUGUAUAGACAACUUGUUGACUAUGCUCAGUCAUGUAGCUUACUCGCUUGUGCUAUUUUACCUACGCUUAGGAUGUUGACGAGACUGUCGAUCUC
rnacentral:rRNA from 1 species